rnacentral:rRNA from 1 species
AACGAACGCUGGCGGCGUGCCUAACACAUGCAAGUCGAACGAGAAAGGGGCUUCGGCUCCGAGUAAAGUGGCGCACGGGUGAGUAACACGUGGGUAACCUGCCUCUAAGAUUGGGAUAACUCGUCGAAAGAUGAGCUAAUACCGAAUAAGACCACAGUUUCUGCGGGGACAGGGGUCAAAGGUAGCCUCUGCUUGCAAGCUAUCACUUAGAGAUGGGCCUGCGCACCAUUAGCUAGUUGGUAGGGUAACGGCCUACCAAGGCAAAGAUGGUUAGCGGGUCUGAGAGGAUGAUCAGCCACACUGGAACUGAGACACGGUCCAGACUCCUACGGGAGGCAGCAGUGGGGAAUAUUGCGCAAUGGGCGAAAGCCUGACGCAGCAACGCCGCGUGAGUGAUGAAGGCCUUCGGGUCGUAAAGCUCUGUCGGAAGGAACGAAUGCUCCUGAGGUUAAUAGCCUCAGGAGGUGACGGUACCUUCAAAGGAAGCACCGGCUAACUCUGUGCCAGCCGCCGCCGUAAGAC